GCAAUACUCUAAAUACAUUAGGAUUUCCAGAAGAAGAAAAAUAGUUGUUGCAUAUUCUAAAUCACAAGAAAUGGCAGCAAACAAGUUUUCAUCUCUUUUGUUAUUUUCAUUGAUGGUAUCUACGUUUAUCCUUUUACCAAUGGCUUCAGGACAAAUCCGUAUAUGUCCGGUAAGGAGACCACCUUGUAAGGUCAGCCAAGGAUGUAUACAAAACUGUAUAAAAUUAGGGUACAUGACAGG